GGCUUAGGACGAACGCUGGCGGCGUGCCUAAUACAUGCAAGUCGAACGGUCUUUCUAUGGAAGCUUGCUUCCACUGAGAAGAUAGUGGCGAACGGGUGAGUAACACGUGGGUAACCUGCCCAUAAGAGGGGGGAUAACAUCCGGAAACGGGUGCUAAUACCGCAUAGUUUUCUUGAUUGCAUGAUUGAGAAAGGAAAGACGGCCUUUGUGCUGUCGCUUAUGGAUGGACCCGCGGCGUAUUAGUUAGUUGGUGGGGUAACGGCUCACCAAGACGAUGAUACGUAGCCGACCUGAGAGGGUGAUCGGCCACAUUGGGACUGAGACACGGCCCAAACUCCUACGGGAGGCAGCAGUAGGGAAUCUUCCGCAAUGGACGAAAGUCUGACGGAGCAACGCCGCGUGAGUGAAGAAAGGGUUUUCGGAUCGUAAAACUCUGUUGUCAGAGAAGAACAAGUUGGAGAGUAACUGCUCCAGCCUUGACGGUAUCUGACCAGAAAGCCACGGCUAACUACGUGCCAGCCGCAGC
rnacentral:rRNA from 1 species